CAUUGCAUGAAGCACUAAAAGUCCCGGAGGAGAUAGACAAGAGUGAUUGGGAAUGGUUGGUCAAGGAACAUUUUUUAAGUGAAAAAUUUAAGGAAACAAGUAUUAGAAACUCGAUCAAUAGGUCUACGUUGAGAAUGCCUCAUCGUACGGGUAGCAAGCCGAUUAGAGAAAUUAUUUACGAACUGGGAGGCAAAGACGGUAAUCCACCGAACAUAGCGACUAUCUUCUUUGAGACUCAUAAGAAAAAUGACACGCUUGUAGAACCUGAAGCUGG